CUCCAGGACUACCAGCGGUACCAUGAGGGCAGCUGCCCCACUUCCAAGCAGCUGGAAAAUGCACAGUCCAAAGUGUCGAGGGUCAGGUCUUUUAUAUUUUACCUGGCAAAGGGACAGACUGUAUUGUUCAGUUUGCUAUUUUAAGGAACAUUGAUGGCAUCCAAAAAUACACAGCCCACCUCCAGUCCCCAGGCAAGACCAUCACAACGGCACAUUUCUACCUGAGAACCAUACAGCAGUUCCUCAAAUACUUUCGGGAAACCCUGCCUGCCCAGUCUCAUCUGACUGCGAUGGAUGUGGUGAGCGUGCUGCGCCCCGUCACAAAGUGCAUCACAGACACAACCAGGAACGUUGUCCUGCACCUGCUGGCAGUGAAAAGCCACAAGAAGGCCAGGAUAAUAUCCUGCGAGGACCUGAAGCGGUGUCAGGAGGGGGCCACACUGAGGAUCCCAGAGCUGCUGGACGCCCUGGAGGAGAACCACACACCGUCGCCGCGGUACCGUUUUUACGGCUACUUUGCGGCUUUCACAGCCUCCAUUACGGUCAUUGCCCAGGGGGAUUGGUAACCUCCGGGUUUGCGAGGUCAAAGAGGCCGCAGAGGCGCACAGGCCUGGCGAUGAUGGUUUUGUGAUCUCUAUCAGGGAACACAAGACUAACAAGUCCUUUGGGGUGGCCCAAAUGUUCUUAGAGACUGACGAGUUUCGAUGGCUGGUUCGGUGGCUGCAGCUGCGGGUGGCCAGCAAGCCACCGAACAAGCUGGUUUUCUUCACGGCUGGGAAGGGCCCAUGCUAAAACUUCUUGCACCACCUGCAGGUAGCGUGGGCGGAGAUCGGCCUUAAAGGGUCCCCCAACUUCACUGACCUGAGGACCGCUGUGUCUGCUCAUGUCAAGAACAACCUUCUGUCGGGCAGCAGAAGAUGGUGGCCACCUUUAUGUGCCACAACAUGGCCACCGCUGACUGCUUCUACGCCCUCAGCCUGAACGUGGCCCAGUCAAAGAGGAUGAGGGAGCAUUUCCGCCAGGCCCUCACCCACACCGCGCCCUCACCGGAGCAACCAGAAGCCUCCUCCUCCUCCCCCCACCAGGAAGAGUUACCGCAAGCCUGAGUCCUCCUCCAGUUCCAAGACAAAACCCCUGCCACCUACCAGGAGUCAGGGACCUCGGGACUGGAGAAGGAGAGGGAGUUUAUGGCGAGGCUGCAAAAUACACCAGAGAAGGCCCGAGAAGUCUCGUGAACACGCCAGUGUGCUUCAACCUAACUUGUGUGGUGGGAAAUGUCUUCAGCCACACCGGAAAAUAAGUUUUGUUUUUAAUACUUUGCUUUUGUAUGAGCUGGAUUAUACAGUACACCAAACGUAUUAUGAA